UACGUAGGGGGCAAGCGUUGUCCGGAAUUAUUGGGCGUAAAGCGCGCGCAGGCGGCCUCGCGCGCCCGACGUGAAAGCCCCCGGCUUAACCGGGGAGGGUCGUUGGGGACGGCGGGGCUUGAGGGCGGGAGAGGUCGGUGGAAUUCCCGGUGUAGUGGUGAAAUGCGUAGAGAUCGGGAGGAACACCUGUGGCGAAGGCGGCCGACUGGGCCGACCCUGACGCUGAGGCGCGAAGGCGUGGGGAGCGAACGGG
rnacentral:rRNA from 1 species